UACGAAGGGUGCGAGCGUUGUCCGGAAUCAUUGGGCGUAAAGCGCGCGUAGGCGGCCCUGUAAGUCCGUUGUGAAAGUCGAAGGCUCAACCUUCGAAAGCCGAUGGAUACUGCAGGGCUAGAGUCCGGAAGAGGCGAGUGGAAUUCCUGGUGUAGCGGUGGAAUGCGCAGAUAUCAGGAGGAACACCGGUGGCGAAGGCGGGUCUCUGGGCAGUAACUGACGCUGAGGAGCGAAAGCGUGGGGAGCGAACAGG
rnacentral:rRNA from 1 species